GGCGGUAAAUUUAUUUUUUUAGAGGAAUUUGCUUAAUAAUUGACUUUACACAUUAUAUUUAACUUUAUUGAGUUUGUUUAUCUCCGUUAUUAGAAUAAUUAGUUUGAUUUAAUUUGUUAAUAAUAUUUCAGGUCAAGAUGCAGCUUAAUAAAGGUAGGGUGAGUUACAUUUUAGGAUUAGUGGAUUAAAAAAGUUGGAUUUAUUAUGAAAGUGGAUUUAGAGGUAAUUUUAUUUAGGGUUGUAAAGUGAAUAUUAAUUAAUUUAUGUACACAUC
rnacentral:rRNA from 1 species